rnacentral:rRNA from 1 species
CAGUCGCCGCGGUAAUACGAAGGGUGCAAGCGUUACUCGGAAUUACUGGGCGUAAAGCGUGCGUAGGCGGUUUGUUAAGUCUGUUGUGAAAUCCCCGGGCUCAACCUGGGAAUGGCAAUGGAUACUGGCAAGCUAGGGUGUGUCAGAGGAUGGUGGAAUUCCCGGUGUAGCGGUGAAAUGCGUAGAGAUCGGGAGGAACAUCAGUGGCGAAGGCGGCCAUCUGGGACAACACUGACGCUGAGGCACGAAAGCGUGGGGAGCAAACAGGAUUAGAUACCCCUGUAGUCCCUGUCUCUUAUAA